UCAGGUCGUCACCUCUUGCCACAUCGCCUUCAGCUCCACUUGGAAUCGUCCGUUUCCCUAAACACGAACCCUCAUUCUGCGAGGACAUUCUUUUUCUUUUUUUCACGUGUGAGUGUGGGCACCGCCCUCACCUUUGUGGACUGACUACAGCAGCAGCGUGGGCGAAGAACGGUGGGACUGAGGACGGUGCUGCCCACUUGGUGCCACCUGUUCGUCUUGCUUAAACGAAGCCCGAAGCACAAUGAACCACACUCAGGGUGGAGUCACUGAGUCUCAUCUGGGGAGUUAGUUGUUUAAACAUCCCGCCCAGCGCUGCAGUUUGCUCUGCUCU